CCUACGGGUGGCUGCAGUGGGGAAUAUUGGACAAUGGGCGAAAGCCUGAUCCAGCCAUGCCGCGUGUGUGAAGAAGGCCUUCGGGUUGUAAAGCACUUUCAGUGGGGAAGAAAGCCUUGGGGCUAAUACCCUCGAGGAAGGACAUCACCCACAGAAGAAGCACCGGCUAACUCCGUGCCAGCAGCCGCGGUAAUACGGAGGGUGCGAGCGUUAAUCGGAAUUACUGGGCGUAAAGCGCGCGUAGGCGGUCUGAUAAGCCGGUUGCGAAAGCCCCGGGCUCAACCUGGGAACGGCAUCCGGAACUGUCAGGCUAGAGUGCAGGAGAGGAAGGUAGAAUUCCCGGUGUAGCGGUGAAAUGCGUAGAGAUCGGGAGGAAUACCAGUGGCGAAGGCGGCCUUCUGGACUGACACUGACGCUGAGGUGCGAAAGCGUGGGUAGCAAACAGGAUUAGAUACCCCUGUGUC
rnacentral:rRNA from 1 species